GCAUUAUACGGCGAAACUGCGAAUGGCUCAUUAUAUAAGUUAUCGUUUAUUUGAUAGUACCUUACUACUUGGAUAACCGUGGUAAUUCUAGAGCUAAUACAUGCUGAAAAUCCCGACUUCGGAAGGGAUGUAUUUAUUAGAUUAAAAACCAAUGCCCUCCUGGGCUCUCUGGUGAUUCAUGAUAACUUCUCGAAUCGCACGGCCUCGCGCCGGCGAUGGUUCAUUCAAAUUUCUUCCCUAUCAACUUUCGAUGUUUGGGUAGUGGCCAAACAUGGUUGCAACGGGUAACGGAGGGUUAGGGCUCGACCCCGGAGAAGGAGCCUGAGAAACGGCUACUACAUCCAAGGAAGGCAGCAGGCGCGCAAAUUACCCAAUCCCGACACGGGGAGGUAGUGACAAUAAAUACUGAUACAGGGCUCUUUCGGGUCUUGUAAUUGGAAUGAGUACAAUUUAAAUCCCUUAACGAGGAACAAUUGGAGGGCAAGUCUGGUGCCAGCAGCCGCGGUAAUUCCAGCUCCAAUAGCGUAUAUUAAAGUUGUUGUGGUUAAAAAGCUCGUAGUUGAACCUUGGGCCUGGCUGGCCGGUCCGCCUCACCGCGUGUACUGGUCCGGCCGGGCCUUUCCCUCUGUGGAACCCCAUGCCCUUCACUGGGCGUGGCGGGGAAACAGGACGUUUACUUUGAAAAAAUUAGAGUGCUCCAGGCAGGCCUAUGCUCGAAUACAUUAGCAUGGAAUAAUGAAAUAGGACGCGCGGUUCUAUUUUGUUGGUUUCUAGGACCGCCGUAAUGAUUAAUAGGGACAGUCGGGGGCAUCAGUAUUCAAUUGUCAGAGGUGAAAUUCUUGGAUUUAUUGAAGACUAACUACUGCGAAAGCAUUUGCCAAGGAUGUUUUCAUUAAUCAGGAACGAAAGUUAGGGGAUCGAAGACGAUCAGAUACCGUCGUAGUCUUAACCAUAAACUAUGCCGACUAGGGAUCGGACGAUGUUAUUUUUUGACUCGUUCGGCACCUUACGAGAAAUCAAAGUGCUG
rnacentral:rRNA from 1 species